ensembl:lncRNA
CUUUCCUCCAGCCUACCAUGACAACGCUCUCCUCCAGCCUGCCAUGACAACUCUCUCCUCCAGCCUGCCAUGGCAACUCUCUCCUCCAGCCUACCAUGACAACUCUCUCCUCCAGCCUGCCAUGACAACUCUCUCCUCCAGCCUGCCAUGACAGCUCUCUCCUCCAGCCAACCAUGACAACUCUCUCCUCCAGCCAGCCAUGACAACUCUCUCCUCCAGCCUGCCAUGACAACUCUACCACUUUCCUCAUCUGCUUUCCGGCCCUCUAGUCAUACAUAGCUACUAAACUCUUGUUCUGAGAUUAUUCACAUAGCCAUUUAAACCUGUCGAACAAACAGACAACAAUAACAAGGUAUUUACAACUGUUUUGUUACAAAUGACACCUUGCCUUCUAAUUUAAUAGUACAUUGAGAAUGAUUAUUUCCUAGAUUUCUGUUGCUAUCUACAGUCUAGAUUCAAUCCGUAGUGCUGAAGAUCCACACUGUAGCAUGAUUGAAAGGCGAAGGCAAUGUUCCUGCGUUUGGAGAGACUUGAUUGAAGUAAGCGCUUCAUUUGUCGGCUCAAUAGGUCAUCUCUAACAGUUUAACAACCUGGCUGUGAGAAUGACAAACACAGGAAAUAACCUUUAUCUGUUGGUUUAUUAACACUGAAACAGAACAUCAUGUCUGUUAGAUCAGACAUGACAAUACAGACAUCAACUAUUAUCAGUUUGGUAAAAUAUCAGUUCAGUAUGAAGCUCCCUGUAAUCAGGAUGACGUCCUGGUUUCAGGUUCUUUAGAGUCAGACAUGUUGUGUUUCAUUUGGUCUUUGGUCAAACUUUGUCACCAUCAGACAUGAUAAAACAUUACCUAACCAAACUCUACCUACCUUAUUGUCCUGUCUUUACUGAACUCCAACAGUUACAACAGGGGCUGAGAGGAGGGUAUAUUACACAAAGAAAUAAAUAAAAUAUUCAUAUAAAAAUAGUCUCUUACAAAAUAUAUUCUAUUAAACAAUGUCAACAACGGGAAAAACGUAUUUUGGAAUAAGAAUGGUUUAGUCUUGGCAGGACAGGUAACAAACAGUAAGGCAACAGUCAGUAAAGCUGACCCUCAGUAAACAGUCAGUAAAGCUGUCCCUCAGUAAACAGUCAGUAAGGCAACAGUCAGUAAAGCUGUCCCUCAGUAAACAGUCAGUAAUGCAACAGUCAGUAAAGCUGACCCUCAGUAAACAGUCAGUAUGAUCAGAGACACAGUCAGUAAGGCAACAGUCAGUAAAGCUGACCCUCAGUAAACAGUCAGUAAGAUCAGAGACACAGUCAGUAAGGCAACAGUCAGUAAAGCUGACCCUCAGUAAACAGUCAGUAAGGUAAAAGUCAGUAAGGCAACAGUCAGUAAAGCUGACCCUCAGUAAACAGUCAGUAAGAUAAAACUCAGUAAGAUCAGAGACACAGCCAGUAAGGUUAGUCAUCUAAUCCCCAGGAAGAGUAGCUGCUGCCUUGGCAGGAACUAAUGGGGAUCCAUAAUAAACCCCAGGGAGAGUAGCUGCUGUCAUGGCAGGAACUAAUGGGGAUCCAUAAUAAACCCCAGGAAGAGUAG